rnacentral:rRNA from 1 species
GGCUCCACAUCCAAGGAAGGCAGCAGGCACGCAAAUUACCCACUCCCGGAACGGGGAGGUAGUGACAAAAAAUAACGAUACGGGACUCGAUAUGAGGCCUCGUAAUCGGAAUGAGUACACUCUAAAUCCUUUAACAAAAAUCUAUUGGAGGGCAAGUCUGGUGCCAGCAGCCGCGGUAAUUCCAGCUCCAAUAGCGUAUAUUAAAGUUGUUGCGGUUAAAAAGCUCGUAGUUGGUUCUGCGUCCCGCGCUGUCGGUACACCGUUUGUCGGUGACACUGGCAUGACGCGGGAUGUCCUGUCGGUGGCGGCGGAGACCAUAUCGCCGUCGGAUAACACCGCGGCGUGUUGGCCUUCUGUCGCCGGCUAUAUCCUACCGCGGUGCUCUUCACUGAGUGUCGAGGUAGGCCGACACGUUUACUUUGAACAAAUUAGAGUGCUUAAAGCAGGCAAAAAUCUCUGCCAGAAUAGUGGUGCAUGGAAUAAUGGAACAGGACCUUGGUUCUAUUCUGUUGGUCUCCGGAACACAAGGUAAUGAUCAAUGUGGACAGGCGGGGGCAUUCGUAUUGCGGCGUUAGAGGUGAAAUUCUUGGAUCGUCGCAAGACGCACUAGAGCGAAAGCAAUUGCCAAGUAUGUCUUAAUUGAUCAAGAACGAAAGUUAGAGGUUCGAAGGCGAUCAGAUACCGCCCUAGUUCUAACCAUAAACGAUGCCAGCCAGCGAUCCGCCGAUGUUCCUUUGAUGACUCGGCGGGGAGCUUUCCCCGGGAAACCAAAGCUUUUGGGUUCCGGGGGAAGUAUGGUUGCAAAGCUGAAACUUAAAGGAAUUGACGGAAGGGCACCACCAGAAGUGGAGCCUGCGGCUUAAUUUGACUCAACACGGGAAACCUCACCAGGUCAGGACAUUGGAAUGAUUGACAGAUUGAUAGCUCUUUCUUGAUUCAGUGGGUAGUGGUGCAUGGCCGUUCUUAGUUGGUGGAUCGAUUUGUCUGGUUAAUUCCGAUAACGAACGAGACUCUAGCCUAUUAACUAGACGCGUUUGGUAUCGAAUCUACCGGCGAACAAUAUUCUUCUU